CUUGGUCAUUUAGAGGAAGUAAAAGUCGUAACAAGGUUUCCGUAGGUGAACCUGCGGAAGGAUCAUUACCGAGAGACGGGGCCUAUCCGGCCCCAACUCUUCCCCCGUGUGUACCUCCUUCUGUUGCUUUGGCGGGCCAUCGGGCGUUACUGCCCGGCGUCGCUUGGGAGACUCGCGCCUCUCGCUCGGCGAGUGCCCGCCAGAGGCUCUCUAAACUCCUGACUUAACUUUCUGUCUGAGCCAUCAUGGGCAGCCACUCAAUAACUUUCAACAACGGAUCUCUUGGUUCUGGCAUCGAUGAAGAACGCAGCGAAAUGCGAUAAGUAAUGUGAAUUGCAGAAUCCAGUGAAUCAUCGAAUCUUUGAACGCACAUUGCGCCCCCUGGUAUUCCAAGGGGCACGCCUGUCCGAGCGUCAUCUACGAAUCCCUCGGGGCCCCAUCCCCGGUGUUGGGUCCCGCAUCUCGCCUGAAGAUGUCGACCUAAAAUGCAGCCAGAGGCUCACGAGUGCCUCAAGCGAAGGGAACCGCAUUGGAGGCCCCGUGGCCGUAUGGACACUGCUAGAGUAUCAAACCGUUGACCUCGGAUCAGGUGGGGAUACCCGCUGAACUUAAGCAUAUCAAUAAGCGGAGGAAAAGAAACCAACAGGGAUUGCCUCAGUAACGGCGAGUGAAGCGGCAACAGCUCAAAU
rnacentral:sRNA from 1 species